rnacentral:rRNA from 1 species
UACAGAGGUGCCAAGCGUUAGGCGGAAUCACUGGGCUUAAAGCGCGCGUAGGCGGAUGUUUAAGUGUCUUGUGAAAUCCCACGGCUCAACCGUGGAACUGCUGGGCAUACUGGGCAUCUCGAGGCACUCAGGGGCGAGCGGAACAAGUGGUGGAGCGGUGAAAUGCGUAGAUAUCACUUGGAACGCCAAUGGUGAAGACAGCUCGCUGGGGGUGUCCUGACGCUGAGGCGGCGAAAGCCAGGGGAGCGAACGGG